rnacentral:rRNA from 1 species
CCUGCGGAGGGAUCAUUACCGAGUUUACAACUCCCAAACCCCUGUGAACAUACCACUUGUUGCCUCGGCGGAUCAGCCCGCUCCCGGUAAAACGGGACGGCCCGCCAGAGGACCCCUAAACUCUGUUUCUAUAUGUAACUUCUGAGUAAAACCAUAAAUAAAUCAAAACUUUCAACAACGGAUCUCUUGGUUCUGGCAUCGAUGAAGAACGCAGCAAAAUGCGAUAAGUAAUGUGAAUUGCAGAAUUCAGUGAAUCAUCGAAUCUUUGAACGCACAUUGCGCCCGCCAGUAUUCUGGCGGGCAUGCCUGUUCGAGCGUCAUUUCAACCCUCAAGCACAGCUUGGUGUUGGGACUCGCGUUAAUUCGCGUUCCCCAAAUUGAUUGGCGGUCACGUCGAGCUUCCAUAGCGUAGUAGUAAAACCCUCGUUACUGGUAAUCGUCGCGGCCACGCCGUUAAACCCCAACUUCUGAAUGUGACCU